rnacentral:misc_RNA from 1 species
GAUGAAGAACGUAGCGAAAUGCGAUAAGUAAUGUGAAUUGCAGAAUUCAGUGAAUCAUCGAAUCUUUGAACGCAUCUUGCGCUCCUUGGUAUUCUGAGGAGCAUGCCUGUUUGAGUGUCAUUAAAUUCUCAACUACACUGACUUUGAAUUGGUGUGGCUUGGAUUUGGGGGGAAAAUUGUUGUGGGCUUUUUGUAUAGUCUGCUCCCCUGAAAUUGAUUAGCGGUACCUUUGUGGAACUGUCUACAGGUGUGAUAAUUAUCUACAUCUUAGACAUCUGCUGGAAUGCUGCUUUCUAAACCUUACUUGUAUUGACAAUCUUGACCUCAAAUCAGGUAGGACUACCCGCUGAACUUAAGCAUAUCAGUAAGCGGAGGA